GGUGUGUCUGUCAGUCGAGUUGUUCCGGUAGUGUUAGAGAGGUGAGUCACGUGGUUGUGUCUGUCAGGUGAGUUGUUCUGGUAGUGUUAGAGAGGUGAGUCACGUGGUUGUGUCUGUCAGGCGAGUUGUUCUGGUAGUGUUAGAGAGGUGAGUCAUGUGGUUGUGUCUGUCAGGCGAGUUGUUCUAGUAGUGUUAGAGAGGUGAGUAACGUUGUUGUGUCUGUCAGGCGAGUUGCUCUGGUAGUGUUAGAGAGGUCAGUCACGUGGUUGUGUCUGUCAGACGAGUCGUUCCGGUAGUGUUAGAGAGGUGAGUCACGUGGUUGUGUCUGACAGGCGAGUUGUUCUGGUAGUGUUAGAGAGGUGAGUCACGUGGUUGUGUCUGUCAGGCGAGUUGUUCUGGUAGUGUUAGAGAGGUGAGUCACGUGGUUGUGUCUGUCAGACGAGUUGUUCCGGUAGUGUUAGAGAAAUGAGUGACGUGGGUGUGUCUGUCAGGCGAGUUGUUCUGGUAGUGUUAGAGAGGUGAGUCACGUGGUUGUGUCUGUCAGGCGAGUUGUUCUGGUAGUGUUAGAGAGGUGAGUCACAUGGUUGUGUCUGUCAGACGAGUUGUUCCGGUAGUGUUAGAGAGGUGAGUCACAUGGUUGUGUCUGUCAGGCAAGUUGUUCCAGUAGUGUUAGAGAGGUGAUACACCUGGUUGUGUCUGUCAGGCGAGUUGUUCCGGUAGUGUUAGAGAGGCGAGUCACAUGGUUGUGUCUGUCAGUCAAGUUGUUCCGGUAGUGUUAGAGAGGUUAGUCACGUGGUUGUGUCUGUCAGACGAGUUGUUCCGGUAGUGUUAG